rnacentral:rRNA from 1 species
GAGUUUGAUCAUGGCUCAGAACGUACGCUGGCGGCACGCCUAACACAUGCAAGUCGAACGAAGUAGCAAUACUUAGUGGCAGACGGGUGAGUAACAUGUAGGUAUCUGCCCUUUGGCCUGGAAUAACACGAGGAAACUUGUGCUAAUACCGGAUAAGUCUUUACGGAGAAAGCUUUAUGCACCAUUGGAUGAGCCUGCACUUGAUUAGUUUGUUGGUGGGGUAAUGGCCUACCAAGACUGUGAUCAAUAGCUGAUUUGAGAGGAUGAUCAGCCACAUUGGGACUGAGACACGGCCCAAACUCCUACGGGAGGCAGCAGUGGGGAAUCUUGCACAAUGGAGGAAACUCUGAUGCAGCGAUGCCGCGUGAGUGAAGAAGGCCUUUGGGUUGUAAAGCUCUUUCGUCGGGGAAGAAAAUGACUGUACCCGAAUAAGAAGGUCCGGCUAACUUCGUGCCAGCAGCCGCGGUAAUACGAAGGGACCUAGCGUAGUUCGGAAUUACUGGGCUUAAAGAGUUCGUAGGUGGUUGAAAAAGUUGGUGGUGAAAUCCCAGAGCUUAACUCUGGAACUGCCAUCAAAACUUUUCAGCUAGAGUAUGAUAGAGGAAAGCAGAAUUUCUAGUGUAGAGGUGAAAUUCGUAGAUAUUAGAAAGAAUACCAAUUGCGAAGGCAGCUUUCUGGAUCAUUACUGACACUGAGGAACGAAAGCAUGGGUAGCGAAGAGGAUUAGAUACCCUCGUAGUCCAUGCCGUAAACGAUGUGUGUUAGACGUUGGAAAUUUAUUUUCAGUGUCGCAGCGAAAGCGAUAAACACACCGCCUGGGGAGUACGACCGCAAGGUUAAAACUCAAAUGAAUUGACGGGGACCCGCACAAGUAGUGGAGCAUGUGGUUUAAUUCGAAGAUACGCGCAGAACCUUACCAACACUUGACAUGUUCGUCGCGACUCUAAGAGAUUAGAGUUUUCGGUUCGGCAGGACGAAACACAGGUGCUGCAUGGCUGUCGUCAGCUCGUGUCGUGAGAUGUUGGGUUAAGUCCCGCAACGAGCGCAACCCUCACUUUUAGUUGCCAUCAUUAAGUUGGGCACUCUGAAAGAACUGCCAGUGAUAAGCUGGAGGAAGGUGGGGAUGACGUCAAGUCCUCAUGGCCCUUACGUGUUGGGCUACACACGUGCUACAAUGGUAUCUACAACAGGAAGCAAGACUGCGAAGUUAAGCAAAUCCCUAAAAGAUACCUCAGUUCGGAUUGCACUCCGCAACUCGAGUGCAUGAAGCUGGAAUUACUAGUAAUCGUGGAUCAGCGUGCCACGGUGAAUGCGUUCCCGGGUCUUGUACACACCGCCCGUCACACCAUGGGAGUUGGUUCUACCUUAAGGCAAGGUUUCAAACCCUUGACCACGGUAUAGUCAGCGACUGGGGUGAAGUCGUAACAAGGUAACC